CGGGACUUGGGGCUGGGGCCUGGGGGCUGGGACGGGCAAGAAGAGAGUCAAAACUCCAGAGGCAAUUCCCUUUGAGAUGCUGAGUGUUGGCGUUCCUGCCUGGAGAUUGGUCUCUGGCUCUGAGUGCCAGCAUUCUUAGUACGUACUCCUGUCACGCUGUCUUUCAGAGUGCAGGUGGCAGGGCCAAGGCAGUGGGAGGAGACAGAAGUCGGCUGAUUCCCUUCCAGGAGGGGGUCACUCUAUCUGCUCAACUUCCAGGUCCUCGAACCGGGAGCUUCACACAGACUGCCGUCAGGAUUCGGGUGGAUCUGUGCCCGCCAUUACUCAAGCUGCACACUUGCUCUACUGGGGACCAGGCUCCAGCCACACGAGGAAGAAGGGUCCAACCAGCCCAGCCCAGGCCCUGCCCUGCCUGCAGGCUGUGCUG